AGAUACCCUGGUAGUCCACGCUGUAAACGAUGUCGAUUUGAAGGUUGUUCCCUUGAGGAGUGGCUUUCGGAGCUAACGCGUUAAAUCGACCGCCUGGGGAGUACGGCCGCAAGGUUAAAACUCAAAUGAAUUGACGGGGGCCCGCACAAGCGGUGGAGCAUGUGGUUUAAUUCGAUGCAACGCGAAGAACCUUACCUACUCUUGACAUCCAGAGAACUUAGCAGAGAUGCUUUGGUGCCUUCGGGAACUCUGAGACAGGUGCUGCAUGGCUGUCGUCAGCUCGUGUUGUGAAAUGUUGGGUUAAGUCCCGCAACGAGCGCAACCCUUAUCCUUUGUUGCCAGCGAUUCGGUCGGGAACUCAAAGGAGACUGCCGGUGAUAAACCGGAGGAAGGUGGGGAUGACGUCAAGUCAUCAUGGCCCUUACGAGUAGGGCUACACACGUGCUACAAUGGCGUAUACAAAGAGAAGCGACCUCGCGAGAGCAAGCGGAACUCAUAAAGUACGUCGUAGUCCGGAUUGGAGUCUGCAACUCGACUCCAUGAAGUCGGAAUCGCUAGUAAUCGUAGAUCAGAAUGCUACGGUGAAUACGUUCCCGGGCCUUGUACACACCGCCCGUCACACCAUGGGAGUGGGUUGCAAAAGAAGUAGGUAGCUUAACCUUCGGGAGGGCGCUUACCACUUUGUGAUUCAUGACUGGGGUGAAGUCGUA
rnacentral:rRNA from 1 species